rnacentral:rRNA from 1 species
UAAUACAUGCAAGUCGAGCGGAUUGAUGGGAGCUUGCUCCCAUCAGUCAGCGGCGGACGGGUGAGUAACACGUGGGUAACCUGCCUGUAAGACUGGGAUAACUCCGGGAAACCGGGGCUAAUACCGGAUAACUCAUUUCCUCGCAUGAGGAAAUGUUGAAAGAUGGCUUCUUGGCUAUCACUUACAGAUGGACCCGCGGCGCAUUAGCUAGUUGGUGAGGUAACGGCUCACCAAGGCGACGAUGCGUAGCCGACCUGAGAGGGUGAUCGGCCACACUGGGACUGAGACACGGCCCAGACUCCUACGGGAGGCAGCAGUAGGGAAUCUUCCGCAAUGGACGAAAGUCUGACGGAGCAACGCCGCGUGAGUGAUGAAGGUUUUCGGAUCGUAAAACUCUGUUGUUAGGGAAGAACAAGUACCGUUCGAAUAGGGCGGUACCUUGACGGUACCUAACCAG